AGAGUUUGAUCCUGGCUCAGAACGAACGCUGGCGGCAGGCUUAACACAUGCAAGUCGAACGGUUGUAGCAAUACAGCAGUGGCAGACGGGUGAGUAACACGUGGGAACCUUCCUAGGGGUACGGAACAACUCAGGGAAACUUGAGCUAAUACCGUAUACGUCCGUGAGGAGAAAGAUUUAUCGCCCUUAGACGGGCCCGCGUCGGAUUAGCUAGUUGUGGGGUAACGGCCUACCAAGGCGACGAUCCGUAGCUGAUCUUAGAGGAUGAUCAGCCACACUGGGACUGAGACACGGCCCAGACUCCUACGGGAGGCAGCAGUGGGGAAUCUUGGACAAUGGGCGCAAGCCUGAUCCAGCCAUGCCGCGUGAGUGAAGAAGGUCUUCGGAUUGUAAAGCUCUUUUGCCAGGGACGAUAAUGACGGUACCUGGAGAAUAAGCCCCGGCAAACUUCGUG
rnacentral:rRNA from 1 species